AGCGAACGCUGGCGGCAUGCUCAACACAUGCAAGUCGCACGGGCAGCCAUGUCAGUGGCGGACGGGUGAGUAACGCGUAGGAACGUGUCCUGAGGUGGGGGACAACCCCGGGAAACUGGGGCUAAUACCGCAUAUGGGCUGAGGCCCAAAGCCGAGAGGCGCCUUUGGAGCGGCCUGCGUCCGAUUAGGUAGUUGGUGGGGUAAAGGCCUACCAAGCCUGCGAUCGGUAGCUGGUCUGAGAGGACGACCAGCCACACUGGGACUGAGACACGGCCCAGACUCCUACGGGAGGCAGCAGUGGGGAAUAUUGGACAAUGGGCGAAAGCCUGAUCCAGCAAUGCCGCGUGGGUGAAGAAGGUCUUCGGAUCGUAAAGCCCUUUCGACGGGGACGAUGAUGACGGUACCCGUAGAAGAAGCCCCGGCUAACUUCGUG
rnacentral:rRNA from 1 species